GAUGAACGCUGGCGGCGUGCCUAAUACAUGCAAGUCGAGCGAACAGACGAGGAGCUUGCUCCUCUGACGUUAGCGGCGGACGGGUGAGUAACACGUGGAUAACCUACCUAUAAGACUGGGAUAACUUCGGGAAACCGGAGCUAAUACCGGAUAAUAUAUUGAACCGCAUGGUUCAAUAGUGAAAGACGGUUUUGCUGUCACUUAUAGAUGGAUCCGCGCCGCAUUAGCUAGUUGGUAAGGUAACGGCUUACCAAGGCGACGAUGCGUAGCCGACCUGAGAGGGUGAUCGGCCACACUGGAACUGAGACACGGUCCAGACUCCUACGGGAGGCAGCAGUAGGGAAUCUUCCGCAAUGGGCGAAAGCCUGACGGAGCAACGCCGCGUGAGUGAUGAAGGUCUUCGGAUCGUAAAAUUCUGUUAUUAGGGAAGAACAAAUGUGUAAGUAACUAUGCACGUCUUGACGGUACCUAAUCAGAAAGCCACGGCUAACUACGUG
rnacentral:rRNA from 1 species